UACGUAGGGUGCAAGCGUUGUCCGGAAUUAUUGGGCGUAAAGAGCUCGUAGGCGGCUUGUCGCGUCGGAUGUGAAAGCCCGGGGCUUAACUCCGGGUCUGCAUUCGAUACGGGCAGGCUAGAGUUCGGUAGGGGAGAUCGGAAUUCCUGGUGUAGCGGUGAAAUGCGCAGAUAUCAGGAGGAACACCGGUGGCGAAGGCGGAUCUCUGGGCCGAUACUGACGCUGAGGAGCGAAAGCGUGGGGAGCGAACAGG
rnacentral:rRNA from 1 species